CGGUCUUGCUGUCACUUAUAGAUGGAUCCGCGCUGCAUUAGCUAGUUGGUAAGGUAACGGCUUACCAAGGCAACGAUGCAUAGCCGACCUGAGAGGGUGAUCGGCCACACUGGAACUGAGACACGGUCCAGACUCCUACGGGAGGCAGCAGUAGGGAAUCUUCCGCAAUGGGCGAAAGCCUGACGGAGCAACGCCGCGUGAGUGAUGAAGGUCUUCGGAUCGUAAAACUCUGUUAUUAGGGAAGAACAUAUGUGUAAGUAACUGUGCACAUCUUGACGGUACCUAAUCAGAAAGCCACGGCUAACUACGUGCCAGCAGCCGCGGUAAUACGUAGGUGGCAAGCGUUAUCCGGAAUUAUUGGGCGUAAAGCGCGCGUAGGCGGUUUUUUAAGUCUGAUGUGAAAGCCCACGGCUCAACCGUGGAGGGUCAUUGGAAACUGGAAAACUUGAGUGCAGAAGAGGAAAGUGGAAUUCCAUGUGUAGCGGUGAAAUGCGCAGAGAUAUGGAGGAACACCAGUGGCGAAGGCGACUUUCUGGUCUGUAACUGACGCUGAUGUGCGAAAGCGUGGGGAUCAAACAGGAUUAGAUACCCUGGUAGUCCACGCCGUAAACGAUGAGUGCUAAGUGUUAGGGGGUUUCCGCCCCUUAGUGCUGCAGCUAACGCAUUAAGCACUCCGCCUGGGGAGUACGACCGCAAGGUUGAAACUCAAAGGAAUUGACGGGGACCCGCACAAGCGGUGGAGCAUGUGGUUUAAUUCGAAGCAACGCGAAGAACCUUACCAAAUCUUGACAUCCUUUGACAACUCUAGAGAUAGAGCUUUCCCCUUCGGGGGACAAAGUGACAGGUGGUGCAUGGUUGUCGUCAGCUCGUGUCGUGAGAUGUUGGGUUAAGUCCCGCAACGAGCGCAACCCUUAAGCUUAGUUGCCAUCAUUAAGUUGGGCACUCUAAGUUGACUGCCGGUGACAAACCGGAGGAAGGUGGGGAUGACGUCAAAUCAUCAUGCCCCUUAUGAUUUGGGCUACACACGUGCUACAAUGGACAAUACAAAGGGCAGCGAAACCGCGAGGUCAAGCAAAUCCCAUAAAGUUGUUCUCAGUUCGGAUUGUAGUCUGCAACUCGACUACAUGAAGCUGGAAUCGCUAGUAAUCGUAGAUCAGCAUGCUACGGUGAAUACGUUCCCGGGUCUUGUACACACCGCCCGUCACACCACGAGAGUUUGUAACACCCGAAGCCGGUGGAGUAACCUUUUAGGAGCUAGCCGUCGAAG
rnacentral:rRNA from 1 species